UACACUAGGAUGGCUGUGACUACCCUUUCACCCACAGCGCUGGGGCCCAGGGUUCAAUUCUGCAGCAGAAGGCCUUUAGAGCGACUCCGCUCUAAAUCCAAAGUUUAUUUUCACAUCUUGACCUUGCAGAGUUUCUGAUAAGGAGCAGUGAAGAUACUCUCAACAUGCGCCAAACACAAUCUUUUGUUAAAGGAGUCUUCCAACAGGUCUGCCGAGAUCCAAACAGGAUUUACUGCUGAACAAAGCCCUCCACCAUUCUCUCAGACUCCACUUCAGAUGUUUCCUGAACCACAGGAGACAGCAAUUUCACCUCUCAACAGUCAACACUACCCCUGAAGUCCUCCAAGCACACAGAUCAUUUUCAUACAGACGAUGAGCUACAACCGCUUUCCUGAUGUGGCCAAGCUGGUGUAGUAAUCCUCAUCAGCUCUCGUAUUAAUUAGUCCCAUCGGGGCUAAUUAAUAUGGCAACUGGGUGUUGAUUAUGUAUUUUCACCAACCACAGUGGUAUUAAGUUACGACUGUGAGAUCUGCCAACAAAAUGUUAGUCUGCUAUUGGCAACAUGCUUGAAGGAGUCCUUGUGUUGAAUGAAUCAUUAAAGUAAGAGACAUGCAUUACAUA